AGUGAACGCUGGCGGUAGGCCUAACACAUGCAAGUCGAACGGCAGCACAGUAAGAGCUUGCUCUUACGGGUGGCGAGUGGCGGACGGGUGAGGAAUACAUCGGAAUCUACUUUUUCGUGGGGGAUAACGUAGGGAAACUUACGCUAAUACCGCAUACGACCUACGGGUGAAAGCAGGGGAUCUUCGGACCUUGCGCGAUUGAAUGAGCCGAUGUCGGAUUAGCUAGUUGGCGGGGUAAAGGCCCACCAAGGCGACGAUCCGUAGCUGGUCUGAGAGGAUGAUCGGCCACACUGGAACUGGGACACGGGCCAGACUCCUACGGGAGGCAGCAGUGGGGAAUAUUGGACAAUGGGCGCAAGCCUGAUCCAGCCAUACCGCGUGGGUGAAGAAGGCCUUCGGGUUGUAAAGCCCUUUUGUUGGGAAAAAAAAGCAGCAGGUUAAUACCCCGCUGUUCUGACGGUACCCAAAGAAUAAGCACCGGCUAACUUCGU
rnacentral:rRNA from 1 species